AUUGAACGCUGGCGGCAUGCCUUACACAUGCAAGUCGAACGGCAGCACGGGGCAACCUGGUGGCGAGUGGCGAACGGGUGAGUAAUGCAUCGGAGCGUACCUUUCAGUGGGGGAUAACGUAGCGAAAGUUACGCUAAUACCGCAUAUUCUGUGAGCAGGAAAGCAGGGGAUCGCAAGACCUUGCGCUGAUUGAGCGGCCGAUGUCAGAUUAGCUAGUUGGUGAGGUAAAGGCUCACCAAGGCGACGAUCUGUAGCGGGUCUGAGAGGAUGAUCCGCCACACUGGAACUGAGACACGGUCCAGACUCCUACGGGAGGCAGCAGUGGGGAAUUUUGGACAAUGGGGGCAACCCUGAUCCAGCCAUGCCGCGUGAGUGAAGAAGGCCUUCGGGUUGUAAAGCUCUUUUGUUUGGGAAGAAAUCCCUAAGGAUAAUACCCUUGGGGGAUGACGGUACCGGAAUAAGAAGCACCGGCUAACUACGUGCCAGCCGCCGCUGUAAUAC
rnacentral:rRNA from 1 species